ensembl:misc_RNA
GAGCAACCUCCUUCAAAAGGCAGCUGGACUAGCAAAAUACUGAAAUAACUCUGCCAGGUCCUAGAAGCUUUGAGAUUCAUUCCAAUGAACUUGAUACAUAUAGAAAAGCACCUUGAAAACGAACCAUCUGCUAGUUCAGUAUUUUCUUCUUACAACCACUCCCUCCCAGGGUAUGUAAUUAAUUUACUGAGCUUUAAAAGAAAAAAGU